AACGCACAUUGCGCCCCCUGGCACUCCGGGGGGCAUGCCUGUUCGAGCGUCAUUUCAACCCCUCAAGCCUGGCUUGGUCUUGGGCGGCGCGGGGGCGGCCUCUGGCGCCCCCCGCCCGCCUCGAUGUCCCCCGGCCGGACGGCCCGUCUCCGAGCGUUGUGAAACUGCCUCAAAACGGUUCGCUGGCGAGAUGGGCGGUCGCGCGCCGCACCCACCCCCUUCUUUUACAGGUUGACCUCGAAUCAGGUAGGGAUACCCGCUGAACUUAA
rnacentral:misc_RNA from 1 species